UACGGGAGGCAGCAGUGGGGAAUAUUGGACAAUGGGGGAAACCCUGAUCCAGCGACGCCGCGUGAACGAAGAAGUAUUUCGGNAUGUAAAGUUCUAUCANCAGGGAAGAUAAUGACGGUACCUGACUAAGAAGCACCGGCUAAAUACGUGCCAGCAGCCGCGGUAAU
rnacentral:rRNA from 1 species